rnacentral:rRNA from 1 species
AUUGAACGCUGGCGGCAGGCCUAACACAUGCAAGUCGAGCGGAGCGGCGGACGGGUGAGGAAUGCCCAGGCAUCUGCCUGGUAGUGGGGGAUAACGUCCGGAAACGGGCGCUAAUACCGCAUACUAUCAGAUGAGCCUAGGUCGGAUUAGCUAGUUGGUGGGGCAAAGGCCUACCAAGGUGACGAUCCGUAACUGGUCUGAGAGGAUGAUCAGUCACACUGGAACUGAGACACGGUCCAGACUCCUACGGGAGGCAGCAGUGGGGAAUCUUGGACAAUGGGCGAAAGCCUGAUCCAGCCAUGCCGCGGGUGUGAAGAAGGUCUUCGGAUUGUAAAGCACUUUCAGCAGGGAUGCGUUACCUGCCGAAAAAGCACCGGCUAACUCCGUGCCAGCAGCCGCGGUAAUUC